rnacentral:rRNA from 1 species
CCUACGUGAGGCAGCAGUGGGGAAUAUUGCACAAUGGGGGAAACCCUGAUGCAGCGACGCCGCGUGAGUGAAGAAGUAAUUCGUUACGUAAAGCUCUAUCAGCAGGGAAGAAAAUGACGGUACCUGAGUAAGAAGCCCCGGCUAACUACGUGCACGCAGCCGCGGUAAUACGUAGGGGGCAAGCGUUAACCGGAUUUACUGGGUGUUAAGGGAGCGUAGACGGUGCGCCGAGUCUGGAGUGAAAUGCCGCAGCUUAACUGCGGAACUGCUUUGGAUACGGGCGAACUAGAGUGCGGGAGGGGUGAGCGGAAGUCCUAGUGUAGCGGUGGAAUGCGUAGAUAUUAGGAGGAACACCGGUGGCGAAGGCGGCUUACUGGACCGUAACUGACGUUGAGGCUCGAAAGCGUGGGGAGCAAACAGGAUUAGAUACCCUGGUAGUC